rnacentral:lncRNA from 1 species
ACUGUGUUGUGAUACUUUACAUGACGUCCUCCGCCCCAGAACGUUUUCGUCGUUCUUGGUUUUGGGGUGUGACAAAGCUACAGUUUUAGGAGUAUUAUAAGCCAAAGAAGAAGUGAUUUUUUCAAGCAAGACACUUCUUUAAAUACCCCCUGCAAUGUAAACAUAAAGUAUAAGCUAUUACAGUANNNNNNNNNNNNNNNNNNNNNNNNNNNNNNNNNNNNNNNNNNNNNNNNNNNNNNNNNNNNNNNNNNNNNNNNNNUCACUUAAUAAUGAUUCUUGAGCAUAUAGAUCCAACACAUAUUUCUUUGAAUCAAUAAUGAAUUCACAAAACAAUAGUCUUAUAGUACUUCUUUGUAGUGAGUGAUGAGAGAGUGUUAAUUGUACUUCGAAGUGUAUAGCAAGCGACUUGUGUUAAAAAUAAUCACAAUUGAAUAUGUAUUUGGGUAUAACCUAUUAUUAAGAGCAUUAUGGGUAUUGGAUAAUCACAACAGGUUAUCCUAUAAACAUCUAACAGUCAACAUUGUUAUCUAUACAAAUGGAGAUGACAAGCUAAAUGCAUAUUUAAACAUUGUUUGAUUUUAUGUAUCCAUAUAAGACAUGUUGUAUGUUGUCGAUCAUCAUACAUAUUGUUCAAAUGGCAAAGUAUCUCAUAGAAAUCAAGCAGGUGGAAAGAGAUCAACAAAUAGAAGCAAUCAAGUUUCGAUUAUGAUGAUUUCAUAUAUAAGCCCUUUAAAUUAUGUUAACCAACAUUAAAAUAAACAUAUUCUUAAUAAAAAAAAACCUAUAUAUUAAUGCAUCUUGGACAACAUAUAACAACCUUUAUCUCUCUCUCUCUCUCUCUCUCUCUCUCUUUAUUUUUUAUUUUUUAUUGUUUUACAAUUUGAGUUAUGAAAACAAAUGCAAUGAAUUUUCCAGGUGUCACUAAUCCUGUUGAUUAGNAAGCCAUUAUUAUUAUUAAUUUCAUAGGUUUGAUAUAUUGAUAAAUAAAAAAUGGAAGUUUUUUCUCUUCUUCUGUUUUUACUAAUCGAUAGAAAGCAUUUAAUUUGGCUUUCUUUUGGAAAAAUUUAAAUUCUUUAAAAUCAAACAACCUUAACGUAAUGUCUAUGACUCAAUUUUUUUAGAUGAUUUGUAAUAUUUAGUUAAAGGGAGUAGUAACACUCCUAACACAUUGUCAGGUCAGAUUUUGGAGUGUCACCUCAUUUUUUACCAUGUAACACUUAAUCUUAGCAUUUGAUAGGGAGUGGUAACACUCAUACCACAUUAUUUUUUUCUUUUUCUAAUUUAAUUAAAUUACUUUAUUCUAAUUUAAUUAAAUUACUUUAUUUUAUCUUGAAUUUCUUGUAUAUCCAUUUUAUCGAAGUCAUGAACUGGUUCGAUUAUAGAGAACCUGCAUCAUUAAAUUUAACCAUAUGAUUCAAUGCAAUAUUACUUAAGUGUACACAAUUACGCCUGGAAGGUAAUGAACUUUAGAGAACAAGGCAACAACACAGCAUAAGUUGCAAUCAACUACUAAAUCCACAAAUAGAAUUCUGUCAUUUUGGCGGAAACACAUAAUUAAUAUGCAAGGAAGGGAUAUAUGAUUACCAUACGACGUUUUUCUCCGCAGAAUCAGAUUGAAUCGAGGCAGCAGCUGAAAACAUAGAAGCAUAUGGAUCAGAGGAAGCCUUCGAUCGCCACCUGAUGGUAGAUUUUAGGUUUCGACAUAAGUAUCUCAAAUUAUGAUACACAGCCGGAGUAUAUGAAGCAUAAGAGGAAAGCAACGACAUUAGGGGAUAUGAAGCAUACACGAGUUGAGCCGAACAUACCAUCUCCUCUGAUUAUCAGUAUCCCUCCUCCAGUUCCCUUUCUCUGUCCAAGUUCCUAUAUGAAUUAUCAUCGUCUCUCUCACACACAGUAGUAUGUGUAGUUGGGUUUCAGGUAGCGACAAUAGAUCAUCGUGGUGGCUGAACAAUCCGGUCAAUUCCCCAUUCAUCCAAUCACAAACCAAACAAACUUUCUCCCUCAUCUUGUUGCAUAUGUAGCGAGACAAAUAUGGCGAGCCCCCUAGCGCUCGCUAGGGGGUUGUGUUUGAAAUGCAUAGCGACGAUAGCAGCUUUAGCAACUCCACUCCGCCUAGUUUAUUGAUUUUUAAAGACAUG